GUUUUCGUGCUGGAGACGAGUUAAUUCAGCACAUAGCCUUUGUUUUCAGCGUUGAAAAGGGCCAGCGGCUAGCCUGAUUUCAGAUUUGAAGCAAUUUCUGCUGGUCUACUCAGCCCGAAUUAUACAUUUGGGUCUUCUUUAGUGGAGCUUCUUGUCAAGCUCAACUCCCUUAUGCCUACAUAUAUUUUUUCAAGAGAGAUGAUGGAUUUUGGGCUGGGUCUAAUAGAACUCAAUAAAUAGAGGGUUAGAAAUAAGAAAAUAAGAAUUUCUUAAGGCCCAAAAUAAUCAUAUACCCAUACCCAAAGUUCACAUGUCUAGGAAUCUUAGCAAUAAGAUGAAUGAAACACUUGGAAAGUCUCCAGCAAAAAACUUAUUGAGGAACGAGAGACUUAUAUUUUUCUAAUUUAAGCCUACUCAUAAAAAUUUAGAAUAUAAUCAAUAAAUUUAAAGCGUAAUUAAUAAUAUAUAUAAUAAAUUUAAUAUUUUUUUAAUAAUAAUUAAUUUAUAUGUAAUUAUCAUAAUUUU
rnacentral:lncRNA from 1 species